UACAGAGGUCUCAAGCGUUGUUCGGAUUCAUUGGGCGUAAAGGGUGCGUAGGCGGCGUGGUAAGUCGGAUGUGAAAUCUCGGAGCUUAACUCCGAAACUGCAUUCGAUACUGCCGUGCUUGAGGACUGGAGAGGAGACUGGAAUUCAUGGUGUAGCAGUGAAAUGCGUAGAGAUCAUGAGGAAGACCAGUGGCGAAGGCGGGUCUCUGGACAGUUCCUGACACUGAGACACGAAGGCCAGGGGAGCAAACGGG
rnacentral:rRNA from 1 species